rnacentral:lncRNA from 1 species
GUGCGGGUGCCCACCAGCAGGCAGUCGCGUUGCAGCGCGGCUCGGAGCGGCCCGGCCGCCAGGCACGUCACGGCCUGGUUGAUGCUGAGCAGGGCGACGUGCGCGUCCUGGCUGCUGGGCGCCGCGCGGCUGCCGCCCGUCCUCGGGCCGGGGGCGUGAGGGCUGUGAACGAGGACCUUCCCCGCCUGCGUGGCGGCCGCCAGACACGGGUGCGCGCCGUCGAACCGGCCCAGCGCCACCGUGCGGGGCUGCAGCUUGUGGCUCAGCUUCAGCGUGAACACCGGCACCAGCAUGGCGG